rnacentral:sRNA from 1 species
UGCAAUCUUUGUAGAGGUAGGUUGCCC